UGCCAGCAGCCGCGGUAAUACUGAAGGUGCAAGCGUUAAUCGGAAUCACUGGGCGUAAAGCGCUCGUAGGUGGCUUUGUAAGUCAGAUGUGAAAGCCCGGGGCUCAACCCCGGAAGUGCAUUUGAAACCGCAAGACUUGAGUAUGGGAGAGGGUAGUAGAAUUCCUAGUGUAGAGGUGAAAUUCGUAGAUAUUAGGAGGAACACCAGUGGCGAAGGCGACUUACUGGACUGAUACUGACGCUGAGGAGCGAAAGCGUGGGGAGCAAACAGGAUUAGAUA
rnacentral:rRNA from 1 species